GACGAACGCUGGCGGCGUGCCUAAUACAUGCAAGUCGAACGCUGAAGGAGGAGCUUGCUCUUCUGGAUGAGUUGCGAACGGGUGAGUAACGCGUAGGUAACCUGCCUGGUAGCGGGGGAUAACUAUUGGAAACGAUAGCUAAUACCGCAUAAUAGUAGAUGUUGCAUGAUAUUUACUUAAAAGGUGCAAUUGCACCACUACCAGAUGGACCUGCGUUGUAUUAGCUAGUUGGUGGGGUAACGGCUCACCAAGGCGACGAUACAUAGCCGACCUGAGAGGGUGAUCGGCCACACUGGGACUGAGACACGGCCCAGACUCCUACGGGAGGCAGCAGUAGGGAAUCUUCGGCAAUGGACGAAAGUCUGACCGAGCAACGCCGCGUGAGUGAAGAAGGGUGUCGGAUCGUAAAGCUCUGUUGUAAGAGAAGAACGAGUGUGAGAGUGGAAAGUUCACACUGUGACGGUAGCUUACCAGAAAGGGACGGCUAACUACGUG
rnacentral:rRNA from 1 species